rnacentral:rRNA from 1 species
GACGAACGCUGGCGGCGUGCCUAAUACAUGCAAGUUGAGCGCUGAAGGUUGGUACUUGUACCAACUGGAUGAGCAGCGAACGGGUGAGUAACGCGUGGGGAAUCUGCCUUUGAGCGGGGGACAACAUUUGGAAACGAAUGCUAAUACCGCAUAAAAACUUUAAACACAAGUUUUAAGUUUGAAAGAUGCAAUUGCAUCACUCAAAGAUGAUCCCGCGUUGUAUUAGCUAGUUGGUGAGGUAAAGGCUCACCAAGGCGAUGAUACAUAGCCGACCCGAGAGGGUGAUCGGCCACAUUGGGACUGAGACACGGCCCAAACUCCUACGGGAGGCAGCAGUAGGGAAUCUUCGGCAAUGGACGAAAGUCUGACCGAGCAACGCCGCGUGAGUGAAGAAGGUUUUCGGAUCGUAAAACUCUGUUGGUAGAGAAGAACGUUGGUGAGAGUGGAAAGCUCAUCAAGUGACGGUAACUACCCAGAAAGGGACGGAUAACUACGUG